GGCCCAAAUCAUCCCACAAGCAGUGAGAGUGAAAGCAGUGACAGCAGAACAGUUAUUUGGAGUGUGUGACUGAGACUGAACACUUGGGCAGGAAAAGUGCAGUUGAGAUAAUAAAGUCUAUAAAAGAGAAAA